CUGCACUUCUGCCUUGUAUCAGAUGACAUACACAAGAUGACCCUUCUCAACCUCACAUAUAAAACCUGAGAGAUAUUCUCACAUGAAUGGCACAAAGUAAUUGUUAACAAGGUUAUUCCAGCUUUUUAUGCAAAGUUUGGAGUCUUCCAUACAUUUCGAGUUCCAGAAAAGCCUUACAGAUGGGAAUAAGGAACAAGGGCUUGAUUUUCUUAGUCAUGAGAAUUCAGCUCUGCUCAUUAUCCAUCUUCUACUUCUACUAAAAUGGUUUCUCUUCUAGCAGGAAUACCGGAAUGCAGGCCUUACACAGGCCAGAGAGGAGAAAACAUCCUUGCAGAAAAGAAUUCAUUUGUUCUUAGCUGGUACAAUAACUAAACUAAACAUCCUAGAUUCUACUUUUGAAGUGUUCUCAGUCAACAGUAGAUUUCAAAAACUUUUGUGUGAAAAGUCUUUGUACUGUUACUUUGUAUUGUUAUUUCCUAAAGAUUUCAAUUUUUCCUCACAAACACAUAAGAAAAUGGAGAAGAUACUCUGUUUAAAAAAUAAUUUUCUUUACCCAGUGUGAAAAUGUUGAGAAAUACACAUUUACUUGAGUAAAUUAUCAAUUAGAAUUGUGCAGUAAAUAUUUUAAAUAUGUAAAUUAUUUUUCUAUAAAAAAUGCUUUAAUAGUUCUGCUGUUUUGAAAGCAAAAAAUUUGCUUUCGAAAUAGGUCUCCACCAUCUUUGUUUAAUUUUAGAUAUCUGGAAAUUUUCUGCAUCCUGCUGAAUGGCACACCUGAUGCAGACAUCCUUAGAGGAGAGCUUGCAUCUGUACAACUGAAGAUUUUUGCUAUUUAAAAAUAAAAUGAAGCUUUUAAAGAUACCCAUUAAAAAAAGGAAACAAAAAAAUUUUAAUUUAAUUACUUUGUAGGACAUUAGUUUUUCAAAUGUACCUACUGUAUUUUGUACACUAAGUCAAUUUUUUUUUUUUACAUUACAUUGCCUGUUUUAUCUGAAGCAUGGCAAUUUGCCAACCUUAGCUUUCAGUGAUAAAUUGUGCUAUACAAAGCAAAAGUUUUUAUAUCUGAGGCCACUUCCUUCUGCUAUUUUAUCAUCUUCCUGGUUUUGUCUGUUUUCAAUAAAUGCCUUUGUAUUUUCACAUCUUUUAUAUGCAUGUAUACACAGAUCCUUUCCUCUGUAUUAAAACUGAUAGUUCCAAGUUGGUAAGGAUAAAAAAGACAGUCUGUUGACUUCAAUUUCAUUGCACUAAUAUACUAUAUGGAUGCUUUUAUAUUACAGUGUUAAAAGAUCUUAACAUAUAUUAAAAAUAUUUCCUGAAUCUGGGAGUGGGGUGGGGAAGCAGGGGUUGAUGUUUCAUAACAAGGUUUUUAAAUGGAAAUAAUCUCUGGGUACAGCUAUAUUUGAGUACUACAGAUUGACACAUGAAGGCUGGGUUCUCACAGUGAAAAUGCGUUAUUUUAAAGCAUCUCAAAUUUAAGCAUACUGAAAUAUAAAAUCUCAAAAGAAAUUACAGUGGAGGCCAAACAUCUCUCCUUCAUCUGUCCCAAGAGGUUGAAUAUUUCUGCCUGAGGAGAAAAAUCUAGAAAAGUCAGCAGUAUGGAGAAGCCACAGAUAUCCCUGCACACACGGUGGAACCCAGAGAAAUCUGAGUGAAGAGAGAACUGAAUUAAGCAUAGUCAGGGGAGAAGAACGAGAUCAGAGGAAAAAAGUUGAAGUUGCAAUGCAGCAAACUGGAGAAAAGCUUUUGGAACUUAGAAGAAAGAGAAGCUGUCCCUGACGUCACUGCCCAUUGUAGCAGUCUGUCAUUAAUUCCUCUUUCCCACAAAAAACUGUUACUAAGGAUGUAAGCUGCAAAUCAUCAUGUACUAAUCUUUUUAUAAAGUCAUUUCUGUUGUUGUUCUGUAGACCUAUUGUUCUUUUAUAAUUGUAUUAAUGGACUAAAAAUAACAAGGGCAAUUCCAUCAUACAUAAUUUACAAUUUUGUUUCUUAAAAAUAAUUAUUUUAUACUGUUCUGAUUGAGAUCACAGAAAUCCUUUUCUGACCACAGAGGUAUAAGGUACCAAAUUCAUCCUUCAUGUAACUGCACUGAGGUAAAUGGAGUUACAUAAGGAAUUAAUUUGACCUGUCUCCUCCAUUUCCUUGGAAAAAUUCUUUGUUUUAGUGGCUGCCAAGUUUUAACUUUGACUCUCCCUUGCUUCACAUCUUCUUGUACUGAGAGACAAUUUUUCCUUCUUUAAGACUAUGAAGAGAAAUACAGCAGGAGAAAGACAAUUAGGGUGAAGACCUGCUUUUUAAAUUGAAAGUACGCUUUGAUUAUGGUAAGAAAAUACCAAAACAUUUUUGCUUUGGUAUAGAAGUGUACAGGAUUAUUCUUACAUCCAUGAGGAUAUGAAAGGAAUAGAAUAGUAUGUAUAGCCAUGAGAGGGAAAGGAUUUAAGUGAUGUUUUUAUGCCUCAGACUCCGUGUGCUUUUUAACUGCAGCAGUUGGAAUAAAGACAGACAUUUCUUGGUUAGAGACAGUAAGAAUUUAUUAUAUUAUAUUAUACAUCACCUUUUAACAAAGAAUCACCUCCCCUUUUCCACCUAGACUCAAUGGGAGAUAUGUAUUAAAAAACAGCCUACAAGAAAAGCUGAAGGCAUACUCUCACGGGUAUAAAACUGCAAUUUCAUGAUACAAUAAAAUGUAUCAUGGAUGUAUUUUGGAUGGCAACAUGGCACAAAAUUCUUUGUAUAAAUCCAACCCAGCAAUACAAAGUUAUUUAGAAAACAAAACCCUCACAAAACAAGGAGUGAACUCGUGAUGAUUUUACGUUAGAGUUGGUAUCAUCUGUCUUCCUGCUGCCUGUAUAAAGCCAGGCUAAAGCUUGGUCUAAACAAUGUAACUCAUAGCUGGUAAAUCUUGACAGCAAUGCAAUUAUGUGGUCAUAUUUGAUCUUGAUCAAUUUAUUGCCAUUAGAUGAUCUAGUACUGCACAGAUCAGACAUUAACAAUCCCAUAAGUCUGACUACAAGCACAGUCUGAGGAGGGCUGAGCAUGAGGGAUCAGGAAGUGAAAUUGAUGGGAGAGUCUGUGGUUCGGAAUAAUGUUAGAAUUAUGCAGGGAUAUUGUCCCCACUGAUACAAUAACUAUCCAGCAGCCUGCCUGCUUGCUUUCCACACCAUCUGUGUGUCAGUCUACCAAUGCUGCAAUUGUGCCAGUGCAACUGUUUGUGGGAGCAGAGUAUGAACUUAAUUGAUGGAAUAAUUCUGGAUAAAAAUUAUUAGUUUAGACAGAACUUUUAAAAUCUGGAUUGAUUGAUCCGAUUUACAGCAUGGCUUCACAAACAGUUGCAUGAACAGCUGAGAAGGCACUAAAAGUCACAGUCAUUAGUUGCCAGUUCCUGCUCCUGUCUAAAUUUAUGGUUCCAUAUUUAUUAAAUCCAGAUUUGUGCACUGCUGACUAGCCAGCAGCAAGAUUUGAGCCAGCUCAUGUAGAGAUAUGCAAUUGCAUUUCAGAAGCUCACUGGUGAAGCAACAAGAGCACCUGGUACUAACCCUUCUAACACGCUAUGUCAUGAGCGAGUCCAGCUUGUCACUUGGCUGCCAUACGUACCAUGGGAUGCCAGCCCUGUGACACUGUGGAGAUGUUUAAGAAGGCUUCUCCAGGCAGGGAGGAGGAAGGAACUGCAGGGCCUUCCCUGUUAUCAGCACUAUUACAAUAAAUCCCUCCACUUCUGCCGUAUGCAUGCAGCUAGAGCACGACUCACGUACGGUCUGCAGCCCAGUGUAGGAUGAAUCAGGAAUUUCAAAUUCCCAGGCCUUGGUGAGACUGCAGAGUGGUAUGUGAUAAUACAUUUAACCAUCCCAAGCUGGAGCUAGCUAGCAGAGGUGAAUUCGCAGACUGCUGCUACUGCUCAGGGUGUGAACAGAGUCUGGCCUUAAUCAGUGCACUCCCCUUUUGAGAUUUACUUUACAUCAAGCUCUUCCAUUUUCCUGAUAGUAAAACCCUCUCAAGCUUCAUGCAAAAUUCCACUCAUGAUCUGUUUCAGCCCAUGUCCUUUGAAUCUCUUUCUGUUAUUUUAGGCAGAGUUUUCAUGCUAGAAAGCAUCCUGUUUGUGUCUAGUACUAUGCAUAAUUAAUACAGGUAGAACAAGUUCUAAUGCAAAGUAUAUUUCAGAUAAUAAGCAUUACAGAGUUGGUGGAUCUCCACAAUUUUUACUGUGUUUGGUUUUCCUCACUGGGACAUUCUGGUGUCCUUUACUCCAUGAGUCACCAGUGGGCCUAUCAGUGUUACACAAUGGAAACAAACACUGACUUCCAAAGCCAGUAAUAUUAGAUGCUAGGAGUAGAUUAAGCUCAUUUAAAAGUCUUAAAAAACACCAACAACCUCAAAAUAUGUCAAGAAUUGGAAUUUUAAAUAAGGUGCAAAU